AUUGAACGCUGGCGGCAGGCCUAACACAUGCAAGUCGAGCGAGCGGCGGACGGGUGAGUAAUGUAUGGGGACUGCCCGAUAGAGGGGGAUAACUACUGGAAACGGUGGCUAAUACCGCAUACUAUCGGAUCUCCCUUAUGGGAUUAGCUAGUAGGUGGGGUAAAGGCUCACCGAGGCGACGAUCUCUAGCUGGUCUGAGAGGAUGAUAGGCCACACUGGGACUGAGACACGGACCAGACUCCUACGGAGGCAGCAGUGGGGAAUAUUGCACAAUGGGCGCAAGCCUGAUGCAGCAAUGCCGCGUGUGUGAAGAAGGUCUUAGGGUUGUAAAGUACUUUCAUCGGGGAGGCGUUACCCGCAGAAGAAGCACCGGCUAACUCCGUGCCAGCAGCCGCGGUAAUAC
rnacentral:rRNA from 1 species